rnacentral:rRNA from 1 species
AUUGAACGCUGGCGGCAGGCCUAACACAUGCAAGUCGAGCGGAUGAAGGGAGCUUGCUCCUGGAUUCAGCGGCGGACGGGUGAGUAAUGCCUAGGAAUCUGCUAGGUAGCGGGGGAUAACGUCCGGAAACGGGCGCUAAUACCGCAUACGUCCUGAGGGAGAAAGUGGGGGAUCUUGGGACCUGACGCUAUAUGAUGAGCCUAGGUGGGAUUAGCUAGUUGGUGGGGUAAAGACGUACCAAGGCGGCGAUCCGUGACGGGCCUGAGAGGAUGAUCAGUCACACUGGAACUGAGACACGGUCGAGACUCCUACGGGAGGCAGCAGUAGGGAAUAUUGGAGAAUGGGCGAAAGACUGAUCCAGCCACGACGCGGGUGUGAAGAAGGUCUUCGGAUUGUAGAGCACUUUAAGUUGGGAUGAAGGGGAGUAAGUUAAUAUCUUGGUGGUUUGACGGUACCUACAGAAUAAGCGCCGGCUAACUACGUG